AACGCACAUUGCGCCCCUUGGUAUUCCGAGGGGCAUGCCUAUUCGAGCGUCAUUAUCACCCCUCAAGCCUAGCUUGGUGUUGAGACCUGCUGUCAAGGCAGUCUCUAAAAUCAGUGGCAGUGCUGUCAGGCUCUAAGCGUAGUAAAUUCAUCGCUAUAGACACCUGGUGGCCACUCGCCAGAACCCCCCCAUUUUUUAAUGAUUGACCUCGGAUUAGGUAGGGAUACCCGCUGAACUUAA
rnacentral:misc_RNA from 4 species